AAAAUUUUUAACUCUGAGAUAUUGUUAAAUGUAAAAUUAAUUUAAAAUUAAUUAAUUAUGCUUAUUAUUUUUAUAUUUUGAAGGAAUUAAUCUUAUCUAUUCAAAAAAUAUUAUAAUAAAUUAUAAUUAAAUUAAUAAAAAUUGAAAAUGUCAAUAUUAUAAAAUUUAUUAAAUAUAUGAUGAAAAUAAAAAAAAUUAAAUAUUUCAUAUUAUUCAUAAUAUAAUAAAAUAAUAAAAAUUAUCAGAGGGGUCAAUAAUUAAAAUAAAAUAAUUUUUUCUAAAGAAUAUACAUAUAUGAGGGGCAUGGCCCCCUGCCCCCACUAACCCCCUUCCCUUUUGAUAACGUUAAGUUAUUUUGAUAAUUUUUAUGCAAGUCAAAAUGGAUUUUAGUCCCAUGUUAUCUUGAGCCCGUUAGAUAUCUAUUAUGUUGCGUCAAGGAAAAAAAAAAAAGAAGCCUAUUGAAGGAAAAUUAAUAAAUUAUUAAAUAAAUUAAUAAAAUCAGAAAUAGAUGAUAUAAUUAAACAAAAAUGCAAAAACUAAGAUAUAUUUAAUUUUUAAGCUAAAAAAAAAAUUUGGAAGUUAAGCCGUAGAAUUACCUCUCAAUCACCCUCCAUCUGAAUAUUCAGAAAAGUUUUCUUUAUCAAAUGCAACUUGUUCAUGACAUCAGCCAUAUUCAUU
rnacentral:misc_RNA from 1 species